GCUACAACAACUAGAUUACCUCUGGAUUCAAGGUGCUUCCGCAAUCACGAGCAUCGGGCGUGAAUUCUUGUUAUUGGGCUCUUGCAUCUCCUCCUAUUUCCCCAAACUACGGGAACUUGGAUUUAAAGACAUGCCAAGUUGGGAAGAAUGGUGGUGGGGGUGUGAGGAGGAGGACAACCAGACAACAUCAUUGCUACCUUCUCUCAAGAUUUUGAAGAUUGCCGAAUGUCCGAAGUUGAGGUCUCUUCCGGAGAGCCUUCUCUGUCAGGCCGCCGUCCUGGAGUAUUUAUAUAUUGAAGGUGCUCACAGCCUGAGAGAAGUACAAAACUUCCCCUCUCUUACAAAAUUGACCAUAGUGGACAACUCGAGUUUGAAGAGAGUGUUCAACUUUCCUGCGCUCAAACACCUGGACGUUGAAGCUUGCAAGGAGUUGAUGUAUGUGGAAAGUGUGGAUGCCGUGGAGCACAUGGAGCUCAAUGAUCAAGAAGCAGAGUCUCUCCCAGAGUGGCUGGUAGGUGCUGGUGAGGAACAACCGCGCUUCCCUUGUCUCCACAAGUUGACUCUAAAAAACAAAAUCUGUCGCCGAGGGCUGCCUGACUGGCCUCUGAUCCGAUGACACAUCACCCAUCUCAUGCUGAAGCGAUCAGUUCCUCCUCUCUCUCUCUUUUUGGUUCUUUCUGCAGUUAGGAAUGAAUCAAAAUCUAGACUCCAUAUUUGACAUCUGCUUUGGCAAGCAAGAGAUGCAAGAUUACUAGCGAACUUCGUGAUACUCUGCAUCGUUCUCGUCCUUUCAGGAGUUUGAUAUCUCUCAUCCAUCUCCUACAAGAACAAGCAACAGCAAUGAUUGUGAGCUACAACAAGCAAUUUGAAAGAGAAAGGAUUGAUGACUGCAAGAUGAUGAAGGUGCUCCGAACGUCAUUAUGUCACCUGCGUGGCCAGAGGAAGUUAGCAUCGCGGACCAAAUCUUAUGAGAUCAGUGUAUUACAUUUGGGAGUAUGGACACUGGAAAGAUAUCAAUGAAAACAUGGAGUCUGUGAGCAAGUACAUUAUCGAAUUGUGCUUUUCCUUCUUUUGAGGACCAUAGUUUUUAGGAUUUGACUGAGGAAAUCAUGUUCGACAUGUAAUUACCAUAUUUGGAUGGACAAGGAUCGGAAAGAAAUAACAUUUUUGUGGACUCAGUUUGCAUGAAUGCAUGAGCUGAUGGAUUCCUAAACACAUAAACCAAAUUUCGUACUUUGAUGUGAGAGCAUGUAACAGCAAAAUUCUCUCAAUUCCUUCAAGCAUUGCCCAAGAUUUUUCUACAGAUCAUGCUUGUCUACGUGACAUAAUUGUGAUAUAGAAAACAUAUGGUAUAUCCACGAUCUAUCGAAAAAAUACAU